AGUCACUGACAUUAGAUACCCCGGUAGUCCAGGGUGUAAACGCUGCAGACUUGGUGUUGGGAACCCUUCGGGGGUGCUCAGUGCCGGAGAGAAGUUGUUAAGUCUGCUACUUGGGAGUACGUCCGCAAGGAUGAAACUUAAAGGAAUUGGCGGGGGAGCACCGCAACGGGAGGAGCGUGCGGUUUAAUUGGAUUCAACGCCGAAAAACUCACCAGCAGCGACUGUUACAUGAAAGCCAGGUUGAUGACCUUACUAGAUUUUCAG
rnacentral:rRNA from 1 species